UUUUUUUUGUUAGCUCUUGCUUAGUUUUCCAAGGGAUUUGUGGCCACGGAAAACCAGUGGUGCCUUCCUUUGGGCAAUAGGCAAUAGGAUCCAUCAGUUGUGGUCAGUAAAAUGUCACUUAAGCUCACAGAGGUUGCAUUUAUUUGAUCAAAAAUACAGUAAUAAUCUUUUAAUAUAUCUUAAACCAUAAUUUAAUUGUCAGAUGAUUCAGAAAGCAUUCUAAUAAUCUGGUUUGUUACUUAAAGAACAUUUAUUAUCAAUGUUGAAAGCAGUUGUACUGCUUAACAUUUUUGUUAAAACCAUGAUGUUUUUUUUUUUUGAUGAAUAGAAUGUUUAAAAGAACAGCAUUUAUUUGAAGUAGAGUUCUUCUAACUAUGUUUAUUGUCACUUUUAAUCAAUUUAAUGCAGUCUUGCAAAAACAAAAAAGAAAACAACCUUUUAAAAACUGGUAGAUAGAUUAACCCAACUGGAAUGGAAUCAUUCUUAAAAUUAAUGAAAAAAUAAUAAUAAAAACAAGCAUAUUAUCCACACCACUGUCUGGACUUCCAAGUCACAUAUUAAAUCUAAUCUCAUAGAAUUCAUAUUUAUAUUUCACAAAUAAGGUUUAUUAAGCUUUACUAUUUAAAAUUCAAAAUAGAGACUUCAUUAGAUGUCUGAAGGAUAAUUAUAAAUUAUUUCAAAUAUUUAGUGUUACACAGCACUGUUAGCAUACUUUAGGCAGUAUUUUAUUUAAAUUAUUUAAAGGGACAUUUUGUUUUUAUCUAAAAUAUUUAUUAACAGAGAUAUUAUGUGUUAAGGCUAAGUUACGAGUUUAUCAUGCACUGCCAAACGCAUCCCACACUAGCUCUUUUGUAUCUCAUUGUUUUCUCCAUCAAAGUAAAUGCAAAGACACACCAGUCAUACUGGUGAGUCAAAUCUAGACAUAGUUGUGGUUUAGAAUGUCUGUGCACUGUAAUACCUCUGUUAUUACACUGUUUGUUUUUAUGUAUUUAAUGUUGCUCAACACUGUACUGUAUCUGUAGAGAAAUGUUAUAUGUGUGUUGUUUCUGUUAUAAUGGCCAUUGUGGCUCCCACUGUUACACGUCUACAUGUUUGACCCCUGUUAUGGCACAUUAUAGCUCACCUAAUGUGGUUUUACUUUCUUUUUCACCACCCAGAAGCACUGGUCUGAUGGGUUAAGCACAUCCCUGAAGCAUUUUCCUGACAGAAUAAUAUAUGAAAAUAAAGAUUACAGCUAUAAAAGUGUUAA